GGCUGGUCCAGGUGCAGUGGUAUUUACUAUGUAUCACAACCAGUUACACAUUCCUUUGUUCCUUCUCCACUCCCUGCUUCACUUGACUAGCCUUUA
rnacentral:Y_RNA from 1 species